AAUCGAACUCGGAUAUAGCUGGUUCUCCCCGAAAUAGGUUUAGGCCUAGCCUUGAAUUAUUUCAUCCUGGAGGUAGAGCACUGAAUGUGGAAUGGCCGCGUCUAGCGGUACUGACUGCAAUCAACCUCCGAAUGCCAGGAAUUGUAGAUUCAGGAGUCAGUGUAUGAGGUGAUAACGUCCAUACGCGAGAGGAAAACAAUCCAGACCAUCAACUAAGGUCCCUAAAUAUAUGUUAAGUGGGAAAGGAUGUGGAGACGCACGAACAGCUAGGAGGUUGGCUUAGAAGCAGCCAUCCUUUAAAGAGUGCGUAAUAGCUCACUAGUCGAGUAUCUCUGCGCCGAAAAUGUACCGGGGCUAAACAUAUUACCGAAGUUAUGGAUUUAUAAUUUAUUAUAAAUGGUAGGGGAGCGUUCUAAGGGCGCUGAAGGUAGAUCGUGAGGACUACUGGAGCGCUUAGAAGUGAGAAUGCCGGUGUGAGUAACGUAAGGUAGGUGAGAAUCCUACCCACUAUUUGACCAAGGUUUCCAGGGUCAAGUUCGUCUUCCCUGGGUUAGUCGGGACCUAAGGCGAGGCUGAAAAGCGUAGUCGAUGGACAACAGGUUUAUAUUCCUGUACUGCUUAUAGGACUGAUGGAGUGACGGAGAAAGCUAGAAAGAGCCAGUUAUUGGAUUCUGGUCUAAGCGUUUAGGUUGAUGCACAGGAAAAUCCGUGAUAUCGAUAAGACUGAAGCGUGAUGGCGACGUGGUCUACGGACCGCUAAGUCUUUUGAAGCUAUGCUUCCAAGAAAAACUUCUAAAGAUAUGUUAUAAGUACCCGUACCUAGAACCAACACAGGUGGUCAAGGAGAGAAUCCUAAGGUGAGCGAGAGAACUAUGGUUAAGGAACUCGGCAAAAUUACCCCGUAACUUCGGAAUAAGGGGAGGUUUCUUCGGAAACCCGCAGUGAAUAGGUCCAGGCAACUGUUUACCAAAAACACAGGUCUCUGCUAAAGCGUAAGCUGAUGUAUAGGGGCUGACGCCUGCCCAGUGCUGGAAGGUUAAGAUGAUUUGUUAGGUGGACGAAAGUCGAUAACACCGAAGCUUUGAUUUGAAGCCCCAGUGAACGGCGGCGAUAACUAUAAUCGUCCAAAGGUAGCGAAAUUCCUUGUCAGGUAAGUUC
rnacentral:rRNA from 1 species